rnacentral:misc_RNA from 1 species
GAUGAAGAACGUAGCGAAAUGCGAUAAGUAAUGUGAAUUGCAGAAUUCAGUGAAUCAUCGAAUCUUUGAACGCACAUUGCGCCCCCUGGUAUUCCGGGGGGCAUGCCUGUUCGAGCGUCACUUCACCACUCAAGCCUCGCUUGGUAUUGGGCAACGCGGUCCGCCGCGUGCCUCAAAUCGACCGGCUGGGUCUUCUGUCCCCUAAGCGUUGUGGAAACUAUUCGCUAAAGGGUGUUCGGGAGGCUACGCCGUAAAACAACCCCAUUUCUAAGGUUGACCUCGGAUCAGGUAGGGAUACCCGCUGAACUUAAGCAUAUCAAUAAGCGGAGGA